ACGCUCGACACCUAGGAGGCAGCAGUGGGGAAUAUUGCACAAUGGGGGAAACCCUGAUGCAGCGACGCCGCGUGGAGGAAGAAGGUCUUCGGAUUGUAAACUCCUGUUGUUGGGGAAAAAGAGGAUGGUACCCAACAAGGAAGUGACGGCUAACUACGUGCCAGCAGCCGUGGUAAUCUGAGCGGGCUGGCAAGGC
rnacentral:rRNA from 1 species